rnacentral:rRNA from 1 species
GGGGAAUAUUGGACAAUGGGGGGAACCCUGAUCCAGCCAUGCCGCGUGUGUGAAGAAGGCCUUAUGGUUGUAAAGCACUUUAAGCGAGGAGGAGGCUCUUUUGGUUAAUACCCAAGAUGAGUGGACGUUACUCGCAGAAUAAGCACCGGCUAACUCUGUGCCAGCAGCCGCGGUAAUACAGAGGGUGCGAGCGUUAAUCGGAUUUACUGGGCGUAAAGCGUGCGUAGGCGGCUUUUUAAGUCGGAUGUGAAAUCCCCGAGCUUAACUUGGGAAUUCAAUUGGUACCGGGGAAGCUGGGGAGUGGAGAGGAUUGUUGGAAUUCCAGUGUAGCCGGUAAAUGCCUAGAGGUCUGGAGGAAUAACCAUUGCGGAGGCCACCAACUUGGCUAAUACUGACGCUGAGGUACGAAAGCAUGGGGAGCAAACA